rnacentral:pre_miRNA from 1 species
CACGGAUGCACACACAUGCACUUUGUAUGCAGUUCUAAAAGCGCAUGGUGUGCUCUGUCCACA